AUUAGUGCAAUUCACGGUUAAUUUGGGGCGUUGAGUAUUCAUAGCUUAUCGAAAAGCAACUGGAAAUUGUUUUGUAUGCAAGUGUGACAUGUGUGGAGAAGAACCUGCUAGCUAGCCUUCCAUCCAUAAGUUUCAUUCAAAUUCAUUUUACAAUAUGUUUUGAUUCACUUAAAUUUGUCUAAGAAUUUGUUUACUUUGUUCUUGUCUUAAUUUAAUUAUUUUCGUCCAAAAUCAACCCCAUCUUAUUUCUUUGAGUCAUAUUAAUUAGAACUUGUCUUAGAUUAUGUUUUUAAGUGUUUUAGUUCAUUAGAAAACCAAAAUUCGUCCAAGUUUGUGUUAGAGUCCCAAAACUGCCCAGAUUGUGUGUUAAGGUAGUUUUGAGUGUUUAGGGGCUGUUUUGAGUCUUUUGGUUUGUUUUAAUGUUUUAAAGUAUAGUUUUGCAUUCUUUGAGUCUAGUUAGUGUUUUUAACUUUGUUUUUACAUUUUCAAGUCAGUUUCCAAGUGAUUUAGCAAUCCCUCCUAAUCCCCGGCCUAGAACGAUCCCUACUUACAUACUUUACUACAAUUGAUAAAAAGAGGGUUUAAUUUGUAUGCUUAUAUAUUUCGCAUCAAAUUUUUGGCGCCGUUGCCGGGGAUUAGCAACUUUGCUAAUCUCUUG
rnacentral:lncRNA from 1 species